AUGUGUGACCUGUUUUGGCUGUCGCCCGGCGAGCAAGGAGAUCUCUCCGAUGUCGUGAGAGCAAGCCUGCACCCGCCUCAUCAGCUGCCAACCCCGGCUGCCGACGACGAGGAGGAGGAGGAGUACAGCUCGCUGCUGCUGGAAGGAGGAAGUGGUGGAGGCGGCCUGGUCGUCGGCCAUGGCGAUGAGCAGCUGGGGAUGGUGGCCAUGAUGAUGGGCGGCAACAUUACCCGGCCUCCUUCGUCUGAUCAUCACGUGAUCUCGCUGCAUUCACCGCCGGCGACGACAUAUACGCGGCCGCAUCCAGAGUCGCUGGCCGGGAUGCUUCGUCGGCCGGGCAUCGAGAGGGAAGGCGACAUGGUGGUCGCGCCGCCGCCGGAGAUAGGCGACCGUCUGCAGCACAUGUCGAUCGUCCAUCACCAUCGUGUACCAGCUGCAAUGAAACCAAGGAAGAGCCAGUCGAAGAAGGUGGUGUGCAUUCCGGCGCCGACGGCGGCGCCGGGGGCGAGCGGCCGGCAUAGCACGAGCGGCGAGGUGGUGCCGUCGGACCUGUGGGCGUGGAGGAAGUACGGGCAGAAGCCCAUCAAGGGGUCGCCGUACCCGAGGGGCUACUACCGCUGCAGCAGCUCCAAGGGGUGCCCGGCGAGGAAGCAGGUGGAGCGCAGCCGCACCGACCCCAACAUGCUCGUCAUCACCUACACCUCCGACCACAACCACCCGUGGCCGACCCAGCGCAACGCCCUCGCCGGAUCAACCCGCCCCUCCUCCGCCGCCGCCACCGCCAAGAUGGCCACCUCCUCUUCCUCUUCAUUGGCGGUCGCGGCAGCUCGUAACAGUAGCAACACCAACGUCGACGUCGACUGUGCUGGUGCUCACCAUCAGCUGAAGCAAGAGAGCGACCUGGACCUGUUCGCGGACAUGGACGCCCUCAACGUCUUCUCCUCCAUCGACAAGAUCCAGGAAGAUGACAGCAAGCAGCAGCUGUUUGAUCCUUUCAGCUCCGGCUUCUGCGACUACAUCUAA
rnacentral:rRNA from 1 species